UGGAAGUGUGCUUGGGAUCAUUAUCUCCUACAGUUACCCUCCCCAAUCUAUUCUGAGCUGACACACAACUUUUUCAGAUUUGGUCUUAAUCUGAUUCUGCUCACCUAGAUCUGGGACUAUUCACCUAUCACUGCAUCCGUUGGAGCACACAGUGCUGGGAUGAUCUGGCAUCAGCUUUCCUGUGGAUUAUUAUCUUGUUUUUCUACUUUAUCUUUCCUUCCAUGAAUGGAUGCAGUGUUAGACAAUGGCAGGAAAUCAUUGAUCUUGGUUGGCUCAUGACAAAUCAUUGCCUGACCAAGAGCUCCCUGUGACCCUGUUCCUGCAUAAUCAGGUAGUAUAAUUAGAUGUUUGAUACAGACCAUGGCCCAACUUCAUACUGCUAAAAAGAUGCAUUUUUCCCCUGAUGAACAGCACGAUCUAACAUUCUCUUGUUGAGCAUAAUGUGAUCCACUGCAUCUUGAUGUGGUUAACAAUAAUUGAAAUUGCCUAGACCUAGCUUCAGUCUUACAGGUCAGCAUCUUUGGGUGCAGUGGAAUUCAGAUCUUUGGUGCCACUGAACAAUCAGCCCAUCAAGAAAAAAGCAGCAGUAACAGAGAAGUGAAGGAUGCAUGUAUCUCUCAAAGUGCAGGAAUCGCAUCGACCUUCCCUGUCAUUUUUAUUUUGUCUCUCAGCAAGCCUAGGACCACACACACCCUACACAUACUUGGAUCACGAAUCAAGACACUACAAAGCAAUAUUCAGCUUCUUCUCUCUUUCUCAACAUCUAUGCAAUGCACGGCUAGCAAAUACAUUACUGUUCUAAAUCACAUGCAUUGCACAAGAACUGUUUUUUUUUCUUCUUCUAUCCAACUGAAAAGAUGUCUUACGCUAAGAAGUUGUUUUCUAACUCCAUUACUCCAAAGUCAAGAAUCUGAGGAUAAGGAUUAUCUAGAGUUCUGGGUAGAAACAUCACGUACUUCUUUGUUCGCUUUCUGAGUGUAACAGUGGCUCAGAUUGCACGCUAUCUAUCUUGUUAUGUGAUAAGGAGAGGGUCAGCACAGAGACAUUAACAGAUCAGCAUAUGGCAGUGACAGCAACCCACCAGUAACUAAAAGUAGCAGUAGCAACAAAACGAGUUAUAAUACUGCAUUGCAAAAGAUGAACAGAGCUAGCUACUUAGCUAGCCUCCAUGUUCAGACUCUCAGUGCAAUGCAUGCUUCAGAUCUGCACUUCACAAAAAGCGCACCAAACAAUUGACAAUCACCAGAACUCCACAGGAGCAUCCAUUCCAGUUGAUUUUACUAUGAACCAAACCAAUUAGUGAAACUAAUAAUUCAGAAAGCAAUGCAGUACCUAGCCAAGAACUCGCAGGGGACGUCAGGUCAGUUUUCCGGUGAAGCCGGGAAGGCCGUGCAGGAAGGGGAGAGCU
rnacentral:lncRNA from 1 species